rnacentral:rRNA from 1 species
AUUGAACGCUGGCGGCAGGCCUAACACAUGCAAGUCGAGCGGAUGAAGGGAGCUUGCUCCUGGAUUCAGCGGCGGACGGGUGAGUAAUGCCUAGGAAUCUGCCUGGUAGUGGGGGAUAACGUCCGGAAACGGGCGCUAAUACCGCAUACGUCCUGAGGGAGAAAGUGGGGGAUCUUCGGACCUCUCGCUAUCAGAUGAGCCUAGGUCGGAUUAGCUAGUUGGUGGGGUAAAGGCCUACCAAGGCGACGAUCCGUAACUGGUCUGAGAGGAUGAUCAGUCACACUGGAACUGAGACACGGUCCAGACUCCUACGGGAGGCAGCGGUGGGGAAUAUUGGACAAUGGGCGAAAGCCUGAUCCAGCCAUGCCGCGUAUGUGAAGAAGGUCUUCGGAUUGUAAAGCACUUUAAGUUGGGAGGAAGGGCAGUAAGUUAAUACCUUGCUGUUUUGACGGUACCAACAGAAUAAGCACCGGCUAACUUCGUG